GACGAACGCUGGCGGCGUGCUUAACACAUGCAAGUCGAACGGAAAGGCCCUGCUUGCCGGGUGCUCGAGUGGCGAACGGGUGAGUAACACGUGGGUGAUCUGCCCUGCACUUCGGGAUAAGCCUGGGAAACUGGGUCUAAUACCGGAUAGGAGCCAUUUUUAGUGUGAUGGUUGGAAAGUUUUUUCGGUGUAGGAUGAGUUCGCGGCCUAUCAGCUUGUUGGUGGGGUAAUGGCCUACCAAGGCGGCGACGGGUAGCCGGCCUGAGAGGGUGGACGGCCACAUUGGGACUGAGAUACGGCCCAGACUCCUACGGGAGGCAGCAGUGGGGAAUAUUGCACAAUGGGCGCAAGCCUGAUGCAGCGACGCCGCGUGGGGGAUGACGGCCUUCGGGUUGUAAACUCCUUUCGCUAGGGACGAAGCUUUUUGUGACGGUACCUAGAUAAGAAGCACCGGCUAACUACGUG
rnacentral:rRNA from 1 species